UGUUAUUAAGGGCAAACCAGUUGAAAAGCUGGGACGCAAAGCUAUGGGCCUAAAGUAUGUUGAACAUGCAAUGGCAGCCGGUUGCCAAA
rfam:Fictibacillus phosphorivorans strain G25-29, complete genome.